rnacentral:rRNA from 1 species
GGACUACUAGGGUAUCUAAUCCCGUUCGCUCCCCUGGCUUUCGCACCUCAGCGUCAGGCGCCAGCCAGGACCCUGCCUUCGCCAUCGGUGUUCCUCCGGAUCUCUACGCAUUUCACCGCUCCACCCGGAAUUCCAGGUCCCUCUCUGGCCCUCCAGUCGCGCAGUCUGUGCGACCCUUGGGCAGUUAAGCCGCCCACUGUCCCCGCACUCUUACGCGACCGCCUGCGUGCCCUUUACGCCCAGUAACUCCGGACAACGCUCGCCCCCUACGUAUUACCGCGGCUGCUGGCAC